CUUGAGCGAGCCGAGGUACAAGGGACGUUCCUCGGGCCGCUUCUGGCCGUAGGUGGCCAGGAGUGCCUGUGCUUC
rfam:Streptomyces sp. AS58 P432contig387.1, whole genome shotgun sequence.